rnacentral:rRNA from 1 species
GAUGAACGCUGGCGGCGUGCCUAAUACAUGCAAGUCGAGCGAACGGACGAGAAGCUUGCUUCUCUGAUGUUAGCGGCGGACGGGUGAGUAACACGUGGAUAACCUACCUAUAAGACUGGGAUAACUUCGGGAAACCGGAGCUAAUACCGGAUGAUAUUUUGAACCGCAUGGUUCAAAAGUGAAAGACGGUCUUGCUGUCACUUAUAGAUGGAUCCGCGCUGCAUUAGCUAGUUGGUAAGGUAACGGCUUACCAAGGCAACGAUGCAUAGCCGACCUGAGAGGGUGAUCGGCCACACUGGAACUGAGACACGGUCCAGACUCCUACGGGAGGCAGCAGUAGGGAAUCUUCCGCAAUGGGCGAAAGCCUGACGGAGCAACGCCGCGUGAGUGAUGAAGGUCUUCGGAUCGUAAAACUCUGUUAUUAGGGAAGAACAUAUGUGUAAGUAAAUGUGCACACCUUGACGGUACCUAAUCAGAAAGCCACGGCUAACUACGUG